GUGGAAUAUAUGUAAAUAAAGCGAAGCAACAAAGAGAAAAAUAGCAAAGUCUUUCUCAGAUUGAUUUCUCAGUUUGUUAUUUACACAAGCAUCAGAGGGAUAUUACGUUGCUAUGGAGAACGCUGCUUUCUCACCAAGCCACAUGUAUUUACCCUAUGCGCCAGAGAAAUUAGCGCGCAUCCAUCUUGAAAAUGUUGUCUCUGAACUUACGUUCUAGCGGUUGCUAUAUAGACAUCUAUGGUGUUGAUGUCAAAGUAUAGUUAACAAGCGAAGUGGAUUUACAGGUAAUAGAGUUAUCAUGAGUAUUUUAAAGUGUUCUGGGGAUGAACUGGAAGCAGAGCGGGGAGAUUUUAAAACGAGUACUUCAUAAAGCCACAAUAUUCUACCUUCAAGCUGUGGACGUAUUGAUAUUCUUCUGUGCACAUGAAACUCCAAGAGACGACACACAGUCAUUAAAAAUAUCUCUGUGCGACACCUCUGUCCAUCUUCUCGUGUCAUUCACCAAUCGCGUUAUAGUUAAGUUAAAAUGAAGAGAAAAACCCAAAAGGACAUAAUGUCCUUUUUUAGUUAGAAAAAUAAAGACAAUGGCCAGUCAAGGCUGGAGAGAGAAGAUGAUUGUGAAAAAGAGGCAGAAACACACGAAAGCUUAGAGAAAGAUGAAACUCCUGAAGAACAGAGAGACCAUCAGCAAGAUGAUUUAGAUGUGGAGAGAGUCAGCAGGCCUGGAGACAGAGAGCAGGCAGACAACUAUCUGGAGAGUGAGAGCACUGAACAUGAAGAGCAAGAAGAGAAAAGAGAUGAAGCCAUUGACAGUGAGGCUGAGUGUGACUUUGAGACAGAAUGUGAGCAAGAGGAGCCCUGCCAUCUACAAGCACUCCAUCUGAACCAUCAGAUAUUUCCAAGUGUAGAGAUGAUCCACCAGCACAACCACUCUUUUGAGCAUUUCCAAAGACACAGAUGAGGAACAGGAGAAGGAGCGUCAAAGCAGAAUGGUUAAAGAUUCAUCCCUGGCUUAAGUAUUCCAGAAUAUCUGACACUGCAUAUUGUUAUGCCUGCCGACAUUUUAGCCCUCCCAACAGACCAAAGUCAGUUUUUGAUAUUCCAUCUGGUUUUAAAAACUGGAAGAAGGCAACCUACAAGGAAGGGGGAUUUGCAAUUCAUGCCAGGUCAGAGCAACAAUUGUUGCAUUGAAAGACUAUGAGACAGCAGCAAAAAGCAACAGAACAUUGCUAAAUGUCUUAAAGAACAAAAAAAUAAAAAUAAUAUGAAAACUAUAGCUGAAGUUCUCUUACUUACUGCCACACAGAACAUUGCUCAGAGAAGACAUGAUGAGUCGGUAGAGUCGGACAACAGGGGUAACUUUAUGCCGAUUUUAGAAACAAUUGCCAAACAUGACAAAAGUAAAAAAUAGGUUACAUUCCAUCCAUAAUGCCAAAUACACCAGCAAAGCUAUUCAGAAUGAGGUUUUGACUUGUUUGGCAGACAUGGUUAGAACAAAAAUAUCUGAAGAAGUUAAACAGAGUGAAGUCUUCAGUAUUAUGGAUGUUGAAACUCAAGACAUUAAAAAAAUAACAGAUAUCCUUAGUGCUCAGGUACAAUUACAGUGGAGCCGUCGAUGAGAGUUUUCUCCACUUUGAAGCUUACUGAAAAGAUUAUCCACAUGUUAGAAAGCCAUGGUCUAGAAUACAGGGAGAAUUUACUAGGCCAAAC